rnacentral:rRNA from 1 species
GACGGAGGGUGCAAGCGUUGUUCGGAAUUACUGGGCGUAAAGCGCGGGCAGGUGGCCUUUUAAGUCCUUUGUGAAAUUCCGGAGCUCAACUCCGGACAUGCAUAGGAUACUGGAAGGCUAGAGACUGGUAGAGGCGAGCGGAAUUCCUGGUGUAGCGGUGGAAUGCGUAGAUAUCAGGAAGAACACCGGUGGCGAAGGCGGCGACCUGGGUAGAUACUGACGCUGAGGUGCGAAAGCGUGGGGAGCAAACAGG